rnacentral:rRNA from 1 species
UGGGGAAUAUUGCACAAUGGGCGCAAGCCUGAUGCAGCCAUGCCGCGUGUAUGAAGAAGGCCUUCGGGUUGUAAAGUACUUUCAGCGGGGAGGAAGGCGAUAAGGUUAAUAACCUUGUCGAUUGACGAUACCCGCAGAAGAAGCACCGGCUAACUCCGUGCCAGCAGCCGCGGUAAUACGGAGGGUGCAAGCGUUAAUCGGAAUUACUGGGCGUAAAGCGCACGCAGGCGGUCUGUCAAGUCGGAUGUGAAAUCCCCGGGCUCAACCUGGGAACUGCAUUCGAAACUGGCAGGCUAGAGUCUUGUAGAGGGGGGUAGAAUUCCAGGUGUAGCGGUGAAAUGCGUAGAGAUCUGGAGGAAUACCGGUGGCGAAGGCGGCCCCCUGGACAAAGACUGACGCUCAGGUGCGAAAGCGUGGGGAGCAAACA